CCCGUGCAGGGCAAUCCAUGAUGAGCCUGGGCGCCGCGUUACACAUANUGGCGCACGGGUGCGUAACACGUAACUAACCUACCCACUACUGGGGGAUGGCCCGCCGAAAGGCGGAUUAAUACCGCAUAAUCCACUUCUCCGGCAUCGGGGGUUUGGUAAAGAUUUAUUGGUAGUGGAUGGGGUUGCGGGUCAUUAGCUAGUUGGUAAGGUAACGGCUUACCAAGGCGACGAUGACUAGGGGAGCUGAGAGGCUGGUCCCCCACACGGGCACUGAGAUACGGGCCCGACUCCUACGGGAGGCAGCAGUAGGGAAUAUUGGGCAAUGGGCGAGAGCCUGACCCAGCCAUGCCGCGUGCAGGAAGAAGGCUUUCUGAGUCGUAAACUGCUUUUGAUAGGGAAGAAUAACCAGUACGUGUACUGGGAUGACGGUACCUACAGAAUAAGCACCGGCUAACUCCGUGCCAGCAGCCGCGGUAAU
rnacentral:rRNA from 1 species